UAGGAUUGGAUAGCACGCUUGGUGGGUUCAAGGCAAUGAUUACUGGCCUAUGCGUAACGCUGGGCCGAAGGCGGGAACUAUUUGUUGGAAUAUUACUCGUUUUCAUCUACCUGUGCGCUCUACCGCCCACCACUUAUGUGGAAUGUAUUUGGUGGAUUUACUGAACGUCUACAGCCUAGGCAUUGCCAUCCUUUUCUUGGUGUUUGUGGAAGGAAUGGGCGUGAGUUGGUGUUAUGGCACACAGAGAUUCUCCAACAAUAUCGAAUCUAUGCUGGGAUUUCAACCUGCACCCAUUUGGAAGAUCACUUGGGCGUAUGUCAGCCCCAUUUUUAUUUUGUUAAUUUUCAUCUGUACUCUGGUCGAUCCGGUCCCAUUGCAUACAUAAGAUUAUACUUAUCCUGCCUGGUCCAUCAAAGUCGGUUGGGUUCUCACAGCCAUUCCGCUCUCUUGCAUCCCUGUCUACAUGAUCUACAAAUUCGGCAUUACGAAAGGAUCUUUUACACAGCGACUGGUGAAAAUGUUUACACCGGAAGAUACGAGUGAUCCUCGGAAUUUGUCGCAAAUAUCUUUGACGGCUCGGGAUGUCGUGGGGCCCAGCAGUGUCAGCCAUCACCCCACCUCCUACGGCACUCAAGUCCGAAUGAACAACCGAAUCUACACUUAAUUAAGUAUUUUUUUUUUUUUGUUUUUGAUUUUUUUAUUCGGGGAUAAGGAAUUAAUUAUUGUUCUGCUUUUACUUUUGUUUUCUACGAUAAGUCAUAGUAAUAUAUUGAUGUUCAUAGAAGUAUAGUAGGGUAAUAUCAUCAGUGAUCAUGGAUAUUUUUCAUCUUAGUUUUAUAAGACCCCUGUCGUUUCAUUUUUGAUU